rnacentral:rRNA from 1 species
UACGGAGGGUGCAAGCGUUAAUCGGAUUUACUGGGCGUAAAGCGUGCGUAGGUGGUUUGUUAAGUCGGAUGUGAAAUCCCAGGGCUCAACCUUGGAAUUGCACUCGAUACUGGCAGACUAGAGAUCGGUAGAGGUUAGUGGAAUUCCAGGUGUAGCGGUGAAAUGCGUAGAUAUCUGGAGGAACAUCGAUGGCGAAGGCAACUGACUGGGCCUGAUCUGACACUGAGGUACGAAAGCGUGGGGAGCAAACAGG